GAUGAACGCUGGCGGCGUGCCUAAUACAUGCAAGUCGAGCGAACAGAUGAGGAGCUUGCUCCUCUGACGUUAGCGGCGGACGGGUGAGUAACACGUGGAUAACCUACCUAUAAGACUGGGAUAACUUCGGGAAACCGGAGCUAAUACCGGAUAAUAUAUUGAACCGCAUGGUUCAAUAGUGAAAGACGGUUUUGCUGUCACUUAUAGAUGGAUCCGCGCCGCAUUAGCUAGUUGGUAAGGUAACGGCUUACCCAGGCGACGAUGCGUAGCCGACCUGAGAGGGUGAUCGGCCACACUGGAACUGAGACACGGUCCAGACUCCUACGGGAGGCAGCAGUAGGGAAUCUUCCGCAAUGGGCGAAGGCCUGACGGAGCAACGCCGCGUGAGUGAUGAAGGUCUUCGGAUCGUAAAACUCUGUUAUUAGGGAAGAACAAAUGUGUAAGUAACUAUGCACGUCUUGACGGUACCUAAUCAGAAAGCCACGGCUAACUACGUG
rnacentral:rRNA from 1 species